rnacentral:rRNA from 1 species
GACUACAUGGUUGAUAGGCUGCGUGUGUAAGUGUCGCGAGGCAUUUAGCUUGGCAGUACUAAUAGACCGAGGGCUUGACCUAUU